UUUGUAAAUAUUUUUAUUUAUAUCUUUUCAUGUGACAACAUUGAAGAAAAUACACUCUGCUACAAUGUAAAGUAGUAAGGGUACAGCCUGUAUAACAGUAUAAAUUUGCUGUCCCCUCAAAAUAACUCAACACACAGCCAUUAAUGUCUAAACCGUUGGCAAAAAAAGUGAGUACACCCCUAAGUGGAAAUGUCCAAACUGAGCCCAAAGUGUCAAUAUUUUGUGUGGCCGCCAUUAUUUUCCAGCACUGCCUUAACCAUCAUGGGCAUGGAGUUCACCAAAGCUUCACGGGUUGCCACUGGAGUCCUCUUGCACUCCUCCAUGAUGACAUCACAGAGCUGAUGGAUGUUAGAGACCUUGCGCUCCCCUACCUUCCGUUUGAGGAUGCCCCACAGAUGUGAGGGAUGUACUCACUUUUGUGAGACACUGUAUGUGUAUAUAUG